GAUGAACGCUGGCGGCGUGCCUAAUACAUGCAAGUCGAGCGAACAGACGAGGAGCUUGCUCCUCUGACGUUAGCGGCGGACGGGUGAGUAACACGUGGAUAACCUACCUAUAAGACUGGGAUAACUUCGGGAAACCGGAGCUAAUACCGGAUAAUAUAUUGAACCGCAUGGUUCAAUAGUGAAAGACGGUUUUGCUGUCACUUAUAGAUGGAUCCGCGCCGCAUUAGCUAGUUGGUAAGGUAACGGCUUACCAAGGCAACGAUGCGUAGCCGACCUGAGAGGGUGAUCGGCCACACUGGAACUGAGACACGGUCCAGACUCCUACGGGAGGCAGCAGUAGGGAAUCUUCCGCAAUGGGCGAAAGCCUGACGGAGCAACGCCGCGUGAGUGAUGAAGGUCUUCGGAUCGUAAAACUCUGUUAUUAGGGAAGAACAAAUGUGUAAGUAACUAUGCACGUCUUGACGGUACCUAAUCAGAAAGCCACGGUUAACUACGCG
rnacentral:rRNA from 1 species